rnacentral:lncRNA from 1 species
CCACUCCUAAUUUUCAUUUGCACACCUUGUGAUUUUGCACAAAUAAUUGAUGCUUGAAUAUGAGAUUCAUGUUGAGCUGUGAGUAUGAAGAGAGGUUUCCUAGUUGUAGACUCAUUGAAUCUUAAAUUUCUUAUGUAAGCUUGCAAAAUAGAUGGAAAUGAAGAAUUAUUUGGAGAAAAUACUAAUGAAGAAAUUGGAUAAGAAGGGUUGGAAUUUGUUUCAAGACAUUGAAGAAAUGAUUGAUUUUCAUGUGAAGGACUUAUUGAAGUAGCAAGAACAAGAAAAAUAAUAAGAGAAGAGGAAAAUAGUGGAAUUUUCAUCAUUGUAUGAAUAAUUUGAUGUGAUAAAAAUGAUUUGAUAUAUGGUAUUUUUAUAGGGAAAUAUUGGCUAAUAAGUCAAUGAAAUAGGUUUGAAAAUUAAAUAGGUAUACAAUCAUAUCUGUUUCCAAUUUGACCAAAGAAAAUUCAAAGUAAGAUAUCAUAAUCGUAUCGAUAUUAUAUUGUAUGCUUUGACAUUCUAGUAGAUACAAUAAUUGUGUACUUUCUCAUCAUCAUCUUUGUAAUAUUAUUCGUUUGUGUUAUUAAUUAUAGGGAGAAAUCUCCCUCUACGUUUUACUUCGUAAGCCUGAGCUAUUUUGUGAUUCAUGAUAUUAUAUUUAUUUUUUAUUUUUAUUAUUUCUUUUAUAAUAAUUUUUUUUUGUUUAGUAGAAUCGUUAAUAUUAAAAAGGGCAAAGUAGUCAUAUUCUAAUAUUUGGGCCGAUAAGAAAUAGACAAAAAAAAAUAUAUUUAAAAAAAAAUAAGCGUAUGUAAAAAAAAAUUGAUUCGAACACCAUAAUUAUAGAAACGGAAGAAAAUGGAUAUAUGCAUGGUAAGAACAAGUCAAAACGAAUGCAAUGUGAAAUUGUGAAUGCAUCUCAUGUAAUAGACGACGCCUCCAAUAAUAAGUCAAUUUUCUACAUUUAUUUUUAAAUAUUCAACGUAAAAUUUGGUUAUUUUUUAUUUGAGAAAGUUGGUACUUAUAAAUCUCAAUCAUAUUUUAUCAUAAAUCUCAAUCAUAUUUUAUACAUGGGGCCAAAGUAGUCAUUAUUUGCCAAAACUUUAUAUUUUGAGCUGAAAAUCCACUAAAUAUCUAUAAAUAAUUUAUUUUUAUUUUAAAAUUCACAACAUAUAAUUUUAAAAUUUUGGAUCAGUCUUUAGUACUUAUAUAAAAAAUGCUAAUUAUAAAUUUAUAACGUAUCGUGCACAAGCACUAAUAAUUAAUGGGUAUCCCCACUUUCUGGUCAACCCUUAAGAUUAUUUUAUAGCUGAAAAUCAAUUAUUUACUUGUACAAAAUGGUUUUGUUUAUUUGAUCAAAGCUUUUAAUUGACUCGACUUUAUUGAAUCAUAUACAACUUUUCAGUAAAACCCUUAUCCUAACAAUCAUACUUAUCUACUUAUAAUGUUUGGCAAAGAAUAUAUAUUUAGGACAGUAUUUGAUAUUCGUAUUGAAGUUUGAUCUAUUUUGAUUCACGCUUCGUAGGUAGGAUUCAUUCUGUGGAAGCUCUUCUUACUAAAAAAUGUUCCACAUCCGAACUCGAAAUCAAGAAUGGGUCCUGCAGUGAGCGAUCUGAAUUUAAUCGGGGCUUCAAUUAGGGCUGUUCAAAUCCGAACCGAAAUCGAUAACCCGAAUCAAAAAAAAGUUAUUGGUUUAUCAGUAUUGGGUUAUUGAUUUAGCGGUUUUGAUAACGGUUUUGAUUUUUUUUUGUUAUCGGGUUAUCAGUUCUUAACGGUUUGAAGUUUUUUCUGAACAGGUUAACCGAUAACCCGAUAGUAAAUUAAAUAAUUAUAUUCAUACCAUUUUGUAUAUAAAGUCCUUGAUUUAGAGUUUCGUUUCCUACUUUUAUUUUUGGUUGUCUCAAACACUUGGUUAUUCUACAAUGUAAAAGUGUUUGCUUUUGAGCAAUAUGUAACUUGUGAACUCAUGUGCAUGGUUUAUUUGGUUUUUAAAUGAUUUUCAAUGUUUUUUGUGUCAAAUCUUAACGGUUGAACCGAUAAGGAUAAAAAACCGAUCAACCAAUAACCGAUAAGCCAACAUUUUAACGGUUUAUCAUCUCUACAAACCGAUAACCAAUAAGCCAGACCGAUAAACUUUAAAACCGAACUGAACCGAUCGAUACACAGCCCUAGCUCCAAUGUGGGCUCUAAACACCGGAUGGAAGACUUAAAAAAAAACAAAGAAGCAUUAAUAUUAAUAUGAAGAGAUUAAAUGAGUUACAAUCUUUCAGAAACUUAUUGUGUGAAAAAAGACAAGCUUUUGUCUUUGGCUUAAGUUCUUCUGGUUAUGUCAACACAAUCGACUACCAACCAGAACCUUUCUUUACGCAAUAGGAAUUGACAUAAACAGACUAUGCCAUAUUUGCAAUACGCCGGAAACUAUUAAACACAAAUUCAUUGAAUGCCCUAGUGUUCGUAAGCACUGGGAAUUAAGACCUUGGAGUCAUCUAUAGGAUAAAUCAAAUUACAAAUAACCAGGAAACUAAAUGGCUGAUGGCUCUUAGGAAACUGGACUUUACUAUCAACAAUAAAUUAAAAUGUAAAGAGGCUUUUCCUUUCUAUCUGUGGUACAUAUGGUUAGCUAGAAAUGAGAAUACCCAUACCAAAAUUUCUAUGGAAUAUUUGGCCGUAACAGGGCAUGAAGAAAAGGCAGAAUAAUAUUAGUCUCUCUUAUGUCAAAUGGGAACCACCCCUUAAUGGUUAUAAAUUAAACAGGGAUGGCUCCUCCAUAGGAAAUCCUGGCAGAGGUGGAGUAAUAAGGGACGCAGAGGGGAAUUGGAUUAUAGGAUACAUGGGAAACCUUAUGGAGAUUAACAAAUUAAACAACAUUAGAGCAGAACUCCUAGCCUUGCUACAAGGACUACAAAUAGCAAUCAGGAGGAAACUAAUACCUCUAGAAAUAAAUGUAGAUUGUAAGGACAUUUUAAACUUUAUUGCUAAUGAUCAUCCUAAAUAUUCAAAUAACUUGAAGAUUAACUUUUAAAAAAUAUAUAUUUUCAUACUUAGAGUGAAGAAAAAAGAAAAUUUUGCCGACUGUUAUUCAUUUCUACAUCGAUGACAAAAACAAAAUUGAUAGCUCAAAAAUUAAUUUUAUCAAAUUUUCGAAUAUUAUUUUUGAUAAAUUUAAUGGGUUUAUAUUUGAAUUUAAGUAAAAAUAUUUGUUCGAAAAUUGUGAUAAACAAAUAUCGGCUAACCUUUUUUAUACGUAAAAAUCAUUUAUCUUCUUUCUUCAUAAUUGUUCCAUUAUUUUUAUGAGAUUUGAAAUAAAUCAUACGAAAGAAAGUCUUUCUUUCAAAUAUGAAUCGUAUGAUUUCUACAUAGUUGAUUUUCAUUUAUCUUCAAAUUUCAAAGAAAUAAUAUUCUUUUUUAUGAAAAAGAAAGAAAAACAAUGUUGGAGCUAAAAUGAAUAAAGUUUUGUAAACUAAAUUAUGAAGAAGAUGACUAGUAUGGGGUGGGGUGCUUUUCUUUUUUGAAAAAAGAGUGUAAAUGAAAGAAGAAAAAAAUUCUCUAAGUUAAUUAUAGUGUCAAGUGUCAAUAAAAGAAAAAAAAAAUGUAAAAAAAAACACUUUGAAUUUUUUCACGCGCUUCAGGGAAGUGCAAAACACAAUUUUUGUCAUAUCAACGUUUUGUGUUUAAUAGGUACAUGUUUUGAACAAUUUAGGUGUUCAAUAUGUACAAGUCCUAGUUAAGGUGUCUAAGUGAAUUAUGCGGACAACUUUAAGGAAUUGUGGAUGACUUCAGCCUUUGUUUUUCCAUUUCAUGACAGUAUGACUAGUGUUCAAAGAAAUCUUGAGGGUUGUGUAUGUACCAAAUUAGUGUUGGCGACAACUAGUCUUUUUUAUCAUCAUAACCCGAGGUGGAUUCAGGAUUUGAAGGUUACAAGUGCCAUAUCAUUAUGCUCAUCAAAUCGAUCAAAUUUUUAAUCAAUUUUUGGCCUUAUAAAUAACAACUUUGGGAUCAAAUACUUGAAUUUAAAAAAAAUUUGUCUUGACUAAUUUGAAUGUCUUUUAAAAGUUACAAUCAUUAUAAUAUUAGUUUUUAUAAUUAAAAGUGAUACAAAAUAUUAUACAAGAAGAAAAAAUGAUACUCUAAUUGGCAUAUUCAAUCAAGUGAAAUUUUAAUGUUAUUUUAAAACACUUUUAGAAUAAUUUUGAUAGUUUAUGUAACAAUUGAGUCUAUUGAAAAAGUUUAAAAACUAUAAUCAAUAAGAGAGAUUUACACAUUUAUAAUGUUAUGUAACGUACAAUAAUUUAUAAAUGAUUUUUAUCUUACAAAAUAUUAUAAGAAAUAUUUUACUGUCAAUUGAAAAAGAAAAAUUAAUUAUUAAAUUACAAUAAUUAAUUACCAUGUAUUUUUGCAAUCUAUGAGAAUAAAAUAUAUGAAAAAAAUAAACAUAUGAUUAUUAUUCCAAAUUUUGGCUUUAGACACCCAUUCUAUUGAGCCGCUCAAAGAUAGUCAUAUAUAUCUUGACCAGAAUGUCGGUAUGCACUAUUGAAAGGGUCAACAACAUCCAUCCUAUGUUAAUCUCACUUCUAAACCAAAUCGGUUUCUUCCUCUUUACUGUCUUAUAUACCUAAGUUUUAUGGAUGAUACAUGUCUUAUGGUCGAUGACGAGUACUGUGAUAUGUGUCAAAGUGAUUAUAGCACACACUUUUAGGGGAAGAAGAGGAAUUCAGUUGGAGAGACCUCCAGCACAUCCAACAACUCCUUGCACCUUCAGCUCGCACACGCUUAUAGGUGAACAAUCCAGAGCCCCUUGCACCUCCAGCUCGCACACGCCUAUAGGUGAGGAAUUCAGUUGUUGAGACUCAGGCCCAUGUUGAGCUUGUGGUCUGUGGAGAUGCAAAAUCUCAAAAAUAUGUCGUCCAUUUUAUAACUACAUGCGUGAAAAGUGUAGUAAAAAAUUAUGCGAUAUAUAUAUAUAUAUAUAUAUAUAUAGAGAGAGAGAGAGAGAGAGAGAGUAUAAAAUGAUAGUAUAUUUGAUUGUGCAACCUUAUAAUAAAAAACCGGGUGUACUUUCCAUUAUUUUCAGUUUUAACCUCAUAAAUAUUUGUUUGAGAAUGUUUGUUAGAGAAAACUGAUAGUAUAAUGUUUGUAGUUACUUGUAAUUAAGAACCUCACACUAUAACACUAUUGUAAAUAGCUCACACUAUUACAUAGCAAUAUGAUAAAUGACAACUCACUAUUGUAAAAAGCUCACACUAUUACAUAGCAAUAUGAUAAAUGACAACUUGUAUGUAUGGUUCAAAACUUCUGAAUCAUACUUCUUGCAAUUCACCACCACGAGCUUAGUUAAUUCAUAUGGUUUCUUUUAUAGUAGUAUGAUUACCAUUCUUGGUGCAUAGAUGUCAAACAAUAAUAUUUGUACGAUAUGAUAUGUGGUUAUCCAAUAAAACAUGCUUAUGAAUUACAUUGGUUAUAUUGUUUUCUUAUUUUGUUGAAUUCAUCGAAAGAUUGAAUGACUACAAUUUUAUCUUCUGAAAAAUUAAUACACAUUUGCACAACAAAUGAAUUAUGAUUUCCCUAAAGAAAAUGACUCACAUUGGUACAACAUCGUAUACUCACUAUUAGAUUUCUAACAUAAUUAAUAUAUCCAAGUUUGGAGUCUGAAGCCUAAAGAACAUUUUUUUUAAGAAAAAAAUAAAUCAAAAUGGUCUAUGAACUCCUGAACAAACCAAAAGGGGUAAAUCUUAGCUCCACUUGUGAUUUACAUGUCUUUUAACCGAAUAAAUUACAUAGAUACUAGCAAAUAAGUAAAAUAGAAUUUAUAAUCAACUAUUUUUAAAAUUACAUAAUAUAUACCUUAUAGAUAAGUAAAAGAUAAAUACUUUAGAUAUGAUAUUUCUCCUAUAAAUGAAGUUACUAGUCUCCAUUCCUACCUUUUAUAUGUUUAGAUUGACUUUUGGCUUAUGACUUAUAGGUUAGAUAAUGACUUUUGACACUUUUUUGUUAUUUUGGCUUAAAAAUAAAUGCUUGUAAGUACUUUUUUAUUUUACUUAAAUAUUUCAAAAUUGCUUAAAAACUAUUUUAGCUUAGAAGAAUCUAAAAUACUGAAGAAAAUUUUCAAGCUUAAAUUAAUAAUAAUAAUAAAUAAAGAACCUUAUUACAGACAUAGAACAAUCCAGCAAUCCAAAUUGGCUAGAUAGUCUUCAAAAAAUAAAUACUAAGAUUAAGUCUCUAUUAAUUGAAACACCGUCUUUCCAUUUCUUAUGUGGAAUAUUGGCUUAGUAGAAAUCAUAAUUAUCAUAACAAAGUAAAGCUCGACAUUCCGACAUCAUUAGCAAUCAUCGGGACCUUUGAAUUUAUCCAUCUAGCGGUUAAAGAGCCUACUGCACGAUAAGCUCACAUUAGAUGAACUCCUCCCAAAAUUGACUUUAAAAUUAACAUAGAUGGGUCUUUCAAUAGUACUAAGGGUGGGGGUAUAGGAUGUGUUGUCUGUGAUACUAAUGAAAAUUGGAUAGCAGGAAGCAACUCCAAAAUAAAUACUUACUCUGCCAUAGGUGCAUAAAUUUUAUCCCUGCUACAUGGUCUCCGGUUAGCAAGAUGAUUAUAUUGAACAUUCAGGAAAUAUAGAUCUCCACUGAUUCAAUAGAGGUAAUUAGUAUGUUGGAAUUUGGCAAUGACACUUUUUCUAAUAUUCUCCUUGAAUGCAGGGAGUUGCUCCAUCAACUUGGAGCCAAAAAUCAAACAUGACUUCAGGGAACAAAAUAGGAUGCCUGAUUUACUAGCGCGUAAUGGUCAGAUGUUGAUACACGAUAAGCUCUUUGAGGAAUGGACAUUCCCCCCUAUGUUUGUUCUGGAAGCACUAGAAGCAGACACGGAAGGAACUUCCUUUGAUAGGCGUAUUAAGUCAUUAUGUAAUUUACAAAGUACUAUCCCUACAGAGUUCCUACUUAGUGCUAGCAAUAAUGUAGCAGGCUUUGAUGUACUGACUCAUUUUAUAUAAAUAAUGGCACGAUCCGAGCCUACGUACACCCUGGACGUGGCCGACACUCAAGAACCAUUGCUGGCCCUUAAGCGAACUCUCAUCCUGGCUGACUACAAGCGAAAGACUAACUCAAGCAUACAUAAGCAUCAAAUUGGAAAAAACGUUUAAAAGCAGUUUACUGAAUCUCAAAAGUGAACUGGAUAUAUUGAGUAUGAAAUAUAAGUUUUAAAUAAAAUAUCUGAAACUGAAAGACUCUCUAAAACUGUUUAUCCAUGAAGCCUCUACUAUUAAGGAAGGAUGCCGGGAUAAGAUCUACGACACAUCAAAACUACUAAUUGGAAAGUAACUGUGAAGUUAUUCCAGAGGCUCACCAAAGCUAACUGGAGUGUAGAAUGAUCUCAACGAAGCGACUAUUGAUAAUCAUGAACACCUAUAUCUGCAUCAUAAAAGGAUCACUACAAAAAAAAUCAUAUAUUGCUGUAAAAUUAGUUGUAGCUAAAUAUGAAAAUUUCCAUGGCUAAACACUUUAGCUACAAUAUUUUCUUCCAUAGCAUUCGUAGCAAGAUGUAGUGUGGCUAAAAGUUAGCUACAAACUUUACAUGGUCCGUGGCUGAGAAAUAAUAUCUAUUGCUACAAAAAUUUUGAGUUGUAGCUGUACUGAUAAAAAGUUUUUGCCACGCAAAAUAUAUAUAUAUGUAGCAAAUAACUUUAUUCUUUUGCCACGACAAAAAUGAUUUAUAGUUAUCUUUUUAGAUGCAGCCACAAAGCUAUUAUAUUGUAGCAACAUAUUUAAUUUGGUUGCCAUGUAAACAAAAUUUUGUAGCUAUUUCUAUAGCUUAGUCUCGUGGCAAUAGUACUCGUAUUUAGUUAUGACUAAUAAAAUUCAUGGCUAUAACAUGAAGUAUUUGCCACAAGCAUUUUCGUAUUAUAGCUAAAAAUUCAUAUCUUUAGCCAUGAAAAAUAUAGAAUUUUAGCUAAAAAUCCAUUUGCUAUGGAAAGUCAAAUUUUAUAUACAUGCUCUUUUUACGUGAUAUAUAUAAAAAAUAUUGUUGCAUUCAAUAUAUAAUUCUAUUAUUAUUACAGAUUUUUUCGCAAGCUGUAUUAGUUUCAAGAGCUGCAUAAUGUAGCUAUGAAUUAAUUUUUAAGAUUUCAAAACACUUCCCAAAUUACAAUUUACAAUUUUAAAAAUAUUUAUAAUUAUAUACAACUCUUGUAAUACACUAUCUUGUUUGAGUACAAAGCGAUAUAGUCUUCUCUUAUUUCUCCUUCCACAACGGUCAAUUGAAUCUUAGCUUGAUUAACACCAAUCUUGUCAUUUAUAUGCUUUAACUCCAUUGAUAUACCUGUCAAAAUGAUGAAGUAUUUUAGCACCAAAAAUCAUUAACAACUAAUUAUAGAUGAGAGUGUGUGUAUAUAUAAUAUUUCAAGAAGAAAACAAAUUUAUUUAUAUAUAUCAUUAACUAAAAAUUUGACAGAUACAAACAAAAAAAAUGCAAGGAAAAAAAAACAAAUCUAUAAAUUUUUACUUCUUAAAAGAAUUUUCACCUUAAUUGUGACAUUUUUUGCGGGCGAAUUGUGAUUCCUUUCAACACUAUUCAAACUUUAAAAUCUUCACGAUCUGCUCAUAAAUAAGAUGUAAUAUUUUUUAAAAGAUCUGAAAUAAUCUAAACCCAAAAAUUGAUCUAUUUAAUUUUUUACUUUUGGGGGGAUAUAUUUUGGGUUUGGAUCUAAAUGUGGAAGGAUUUUAAUCCUUAUAGUUUAUUUUUCAUUUAAUUCUUAAUAUAAGAACGUUAUAUAAUUGUGCAUGUGGUGGCACAAAAACUAGCUCCAAAUUUCAUUUUCACAAUAAAAGUAUAGUAUAUAUGUGGUGUGUUUUCCAUCUAAUUUUAUAUAGAUCUGUUAGAACGAUUAUAAUUCUACAAAAAUAUGUGUGUAAUGAAUAAUAAAAUACAACAAUUACAAAUAAAUCUUAAAAAAUAUGACGAGAACUUCAAAUGAGGGACGUAUUUUAAUUUUUAAAAUUAAUUUAUUUGAAGAAACCAACUGUAAACUUUAAACUUUGGUUACUAGUUAGCAAACUUUUAACAAAGUAAAAAAUGACCAAUUUGAGCCCAAAUAAAAAUACAGUCUUAUGAUAAUCAUAAAUUCAUAUUAAAUUAUAUAAAAGAAGUUUAAUUGGAGGAAUCGUGAAUAUUUACCCUUCUUUAUGUAUUUUAGUUCUAUUAUUUGAAAUUUAAUUGACACUUCUAUUUAUAUGUAUUAUCACGUAUUUAUUUAAAACUUAUAAACAAGACUCUAUUAAAUUGAAUCGAGUCAAAUGACCUCUAAUUACUCUAAACUAUUAAAAGAUAUUGUCCCAAUAAAUCACAUAUGUGUCAAAUAAUAAUUCUAAAAACACUUGGUCAGGAUAAAGUUUGAUUGAGACUUAUUGAAGGUUUGCUAAAAAUUGAUAAAAUUAGUUAAUUGAAGUAAAUAUAAUCACUUAUUUAUUAGCUUAAGUUAUAUUUAAGAUUUGCAAGCUAUAAAAUUGAAUUGAAUCAAACAAUUAAUACUUCUAGUUAUAUUAUAUUGAUAAAAAUAUUAUUUUGAUGAAACAAGUUUAAGUUAAACAACAAUUUCAAAAGCACUUGAUCUAGAUGAAGUUUCAAUGAGACUUGAAAUUAAUGUUUAAAUUCGAUAUAAUUAGUCAAUCCAAAUUAACAAGAUAUAGUCACUUAUUUAUUGAAAUUAUAUUUGAAUAUAAGUAGAGUUUUAAAAUUGAAUCGGAUCAAACAAUUAACACACCUAAUUACACUAUAUUAGUAUUGUUAUAACUACAUUUCAACUCGUGAUUAAAAUUUUUUAUUAACUAUGAAAUUUAUCAACAUAUUAAUUUUGUGGUUAUAUUAUUUUGUUAUGACAAAUAAUUAUAGCGAUGAAGACCAUUAUUACCACAACAUUUUAGUACUCGGGCAAAAUAAUUUAUUUAAUUAUAAUAGUUUAUUUUAAAUAACUCUUUUAUGGCUAAAAUAUUACUAUUGAUAUAGCAUGUUUCAAUACGUGGCAAAAAUUAAUAUAUAACUACGAAAUUGUCCUGUAGCAAAAAGUCUAUGACUAUAUCAAUUAAUUAUUGCUACAUUUUUUUUUGUAACUUGAGGCAAAAUGAUUUAUUUAAUUAGAAUAUUUUGUUUCAAAUAAUUUAUUGUGGCUAAAGUGCUACUAUUACCACAAUAAAUUUCAACUCGUAGCAAAAAACUACUAAUUGGCUACAAACUUUUAUUAUAGCAGAAAAUGCGUGGCUAUAUAUCAUUUAACUAUUGCCACAAGUUUUAUAUUUUGAAGCAAUAAUAUUUAUUUAGCUACAAUAUUUUGUUUCAAUUAAUUUAUUGUGGCUAAAGUGAUACUAUUACUACAAUAAGUUUCAACUCGUAGCAAAAAGCUACUAUUCUCUUCGAAGUUUUAUUAUAGCAGAAAAGACGUGGCUAUAUCAUUUAACUAUUGUCACAAGUUUUUAUUUUGAAGCAAUAAUAUUCAUUUAGCUACAAUAUUUUGUUUCAAAUAGUUUAUUGUGGCUAAAAGGUUACUAUUGCUACAAUAACUUUUAAGUCGUGACAAAAAUAUUUGAUCAGUUACAAAGUUUUAUUGUAGCAACAAAGUUGUAGCUAUUUAGCCAAUUAUUGCCUCAAGUAUUAAUAAUCGUAGCAAUAAUGAAGAAUUGGCUUUGUCAAUUAGUUUUUCGUGGCUAAGAAAAUUUACGAAUUAGUAGAUAGCUAUGGAAGUCAAAUUUGUGUGGCUAUUAUGAGGUAAUUGCUACGAAUUUUAUAUUCAUAGCUUAAAUUUCCUAGCUAUAGAUACAUUGUGUUGUAGUGGAUGCAAGUCGAAUGACGUCAGUACAUGGAAUAUAUGAGUAUGUAAUAUGGCUGAGUAAACAAAUAACUAAACUGAAUGACUGAAAAGCAACUCAACUGAAUCAAUACAUGAACAUGAAGUGAAAACCAUUUAAGCGUUAUAAUAAAAUAUACAAUGAAAGCAACAUGAAAAUAAUAUACUUUACUUGUGGGGAGUUUCUCUAACCGACAACCAUUACCAUGAGCCUAGCAAUGAUACAACGUUUCGCCUCAUGUUGCAAGGGCCAUCCUAUACUUUGUCGGGGUAUAUGAUGAUAUCGUGACUAUGGAUCCAUCUAAUUAGCCUUCUCAGAGGCAGUAAGAAGUCGCAUGAAGAAUCAAUGUUAUCCUAUCCUACGGUGGCUACGUAGUUCUAUGGGACUUCCUAAUCAUAAAAGACUCUAACCCAACUCGGUGUUUGAUACUACUCCCAAAUAAUUAAUAGAACUUUAUGCUUAAUUCACCCAUUACAAAGAAUGAACUUCUUACAUUACUUGAAAUAUUUUUCAAAACAUGAGACGUGUUUACCUUCUUGAAAACAUGCACUUAUGAACUUAUCUUUCAAGUCCAAAAAUCAACAUAGGUACAUAUGUAUAUGUAUAUUUAUAUGAAUAAAAUAACAUUAGAAACUCUUGAGUCUUUAUGAAAUAGAACCUUUAAGCUUUUUCUCAAAACUAAGUUUGAAACACAAUGAUUGGCUUUCAAAGACUCUCAAGACUUAUAACUCAAUUUGUAGGGUUCAUGCAGAAUUAUGGACAUGAAUGACUCAACUCGAGGACCUCAAUAACCUUAUAGAAACUCAUGAAUACAACUCUAUCUCAAAACUCAUCUUUACUUCCUAAAAAAAACUCAGUUUAAAACUCAAGUGUUGGCCUUAAAAAACUUCUCACGAUUUAUAACUCAAAAUAGGGUUCAUUCUGAAUUAUAGGCAUGAACAAAUCAACUCAAGGAUCUCAAUAAAAAUAUAGAAACUCAAUACUUAGGAAUAGAACUUCAAAAGAAUUAGGAAUUCAAGAAGUCAAUAUCAACUUAUCUCAAGAAUACUCAAAUCUAGGGGUAGAAUCCUAGAUUUCUCUUUUACUGAUUUGAAAGUAGAUGUAGGGCGUGAGGACGAACUAGUCCAACACUAUGAUAGCCUUACAUACCUGGAAGAACAAAGUUCUUGAAGAAUCUUGAAGAAGAACUUGAUUAGAAGCCUUGAAAUCUUAGCUUUAAGGAGAAAAUCAAGAAAACCUUUCUUGAGAUUUCUUAAAUUAGUUUCUUGAAAUCUCUAUGGCCAAGAAUUAUAAUUUUUAUAAGUGAUUCAUAAUUGUACGUAGGAAUUUGAGUUGGAAAGAAUGAAAUUUUUGGAGAAACACUUACCUUGAAGAAGAAUCUUGAAAAAGAUUGAAAGAAUCUUGAAUGGAGUCUUCUACUUUGAUUUUUCCUUAGGGUUUUGUCUUAGGGUUUGAGAGAGAAGAGAAUGAUGGAUUAAAAGAUGAAAAUCUAAUUGUUUUGAUCCUUUUAUUAGUCAAGAAAUUCGUUUAGGGUUUUCUUGGAGAUAAAAAGACCCUUUUUAAUGUUUUCCCAUUGGCUAAUUCGUCACUGCACUGUAUCAGCUACUAAAAUGGUCAUAACUUUUUACUCAGAAAUUGGAUUGACGCGAAAUUGGUGACGUUGGAAAGAAGAUUCAAAUACCUUUAAUUUGAUAGGUUAUGUGCCACGUAAAUUUUUAUAUUCUAGGAGAUAUUGUCGUUUGAAGUUGACCCAAGUAAACUCUUACAUCAAAACUUAAUCGUUAAAAAACUUUCAACUCAACUUUGUGCUAGGUGUUUUUAGCGACCUUAAUUGAUAUCCAAAAUCAUUUCCAUCCUAAAGAAUUUACCUUUACAAUCCGAGCAAUUUAAGAAUAACCCCAUAAGACCUUAUGUGCAAAUAAAGAAUAGUUCAAACUUUAGCUUAAAAUUUUCGGGGUGUUACAAAUAAGUUGUCUUACUGCCAAAAAAAAAUUCAAUAUUUUACCCCAUUUUGUCUACAAUUCCUCCAGUUCACCAGUCAGGGUGAACUGGUAUGCUUUGUUCAUUCCUAAAGAAAUUUCCAGGAUCAACUUUAGUCUGGAUCUUCACCAACCUAUUGAAAUUUUCCUUUUUGAAAUACUUUAUCCCAUACACUUUCCCUUCAAAAUAACUCAAUUUCCCAUUAUGUGUGAUUCCCAAAUCAAGAUCCCUAUAAUUCAAAUAUGCUAAUCUUGGUGAUUUUGACACAAAGGGUAUCAUAUAGUUAUAAAGUACUCUUGUCAAGUUGAUGUAAUGGUUUGAAGCCUCAAUUCCUUUCUCAUUCCAAAUUGUUACAUGAUGUAUCUUAGCUAUAUUUCCAGCUCUAUGUGGGAAUGGCUUAGCUAAAGGUGAAAUUUCACUCAUUCUUCCACCAUAAGGAUUAAAUAUCAAACUUGUUGGUGUUUGUAGUUCUAUCAUUUUCUUGAAUAUGAACUCUAACCCUUCUUUUGACAUUGGCUUUUGCAAGUAAUCAGAUUUCCUUUUCAAGCAUGUUAGGGAAGGUGACCUAAUUAACAAAACAUCAAUAGGGGCAAUUGGGUAAUUUAUAUAGUAAAGCACAUAUUUGAUCCAAGACAUCUCGAUGUUAGCAUGAUAGACACCUAAAUGAUUGUAUAUAUUAAUGUAAUUAUAUAGUGAUAUAAAUUAGCAUGAUCAUAUACAUUUGUUGUAGAAUCAUAUGAAUAAAUAUUGUGAUAGAAUAGCUGAUUUGGAGGGAUAGCAAGGCAGAUUUAGAGGGAUUCAAUGGCAGAUUUGUAUAGAUAGAAUAGCUGAUCUUUAGGGAUAGGAAUGGUGGAUCUUUAGGGAUGUGUAAUCUUUAUUUUCUCUAUAUAAUNNNNNNNNNNNNNNNNNNNNNNNNNNNNNNNNNNNNNNNNNNNNNNNNNNNNNNNNNNNNNNNNNNNNNNNNNNNNNNNNNNNNNNNNNNNNNNNNNNNNNNNNNNNNNNNNNNNNNNNNNNNNNNNNNNNNNNNNNNNNNNNNNNNNNNNNNNNNNNNNNNNNNNNNNNNNNNNNNNNNNNNNNNNNNNNNNNNNNNNNNNNNNNNNNNNNNNNNNNNNNNNNNNNNNNNNNNNNNNNNNNNNNNNNNNNNNNNNNNNNNNNNNNNNNNNNNNNNNNNNNNNNNNNNNNNNNNNNNNNNNNNNNNNNNNNNNNNNNNNNNNNNNNNNNNNNNNNNNNNNNNNNNNNNNNNNNNNNNNNNNNNNNNNNNNNNNNNNNNNNNNNNNNNNNNNNNNNNNNNNNNNNNNNNNNNNNNNNNNNNNNNNNNNNNNNNNNNNNNNNNNNNNNNNNNNNNNNNNNNNNNNNNNNNNNNNNNNNNNNNNNNNNNNNNNNNNNNNNNNNNNNNNNNNNNNNNNNNNNNNNNNNNNNNNNNNNNNNNNNNNNNNNNNNNNNNNNNNNNNNNNNNNNNNNNNNNNNNNNNNNNNNNNNNNNNNNNNNNNNNNNNNNNNNNNNNNNNNNNNNNNNNNNNNNNNNNNNNNNNNNNNNNNNNNNNNNNNNNNNNNNNNNNNNNNNNNNNNNNNNNNNNNNNNNNNNNNNNNNNNNNNNNNNNNNNNNNNNNNNNNNNNNNNNNNNNNNNNNNNNNNNNNNNNNNNNNNNNNNNNNNNNNNNNNNNNNNNNNNNNNNNNNNNNNNNNNNNNNNNNNNNNNNNNNNNNNNNAACUAAAUGAUUGUAUAUAUUAAUGUAAUUAUAUAGUGAUAUAAAUUAGCAUGAUCAUAUACAUUUGUUGUAGAAUCAUAUGAAUAAAUAUUGUGAUAGAAUAGCUGAUUUGGAGGGAUAGCAAGGCAGAUUUAGAGGGAUUCAAUGGCAGAUUUGUAUAGAUAGAAUAGUUGAUCUUUAGGGAUAGGAAUGGCGGAUCUUUAGGGAUGUGUAAUCUUUAUUUUCUCUAUAUAAUGGAAAGUCUCUCUUUUUGAGAGGCAUUCAGCNNNNNNNNNNNNNNNNNNNNNNNNNNNNNNNNNNNNNNNNNNNNNNNNNNNNNNNNNNNNNNNNGUGUUCGUUUCACUGGAAAAAAAUAUUCUUCUUGGGAGUUUUAAUUUCAGUUGUUUGUCACCGGCAAAGAACUAUGGGGCCAUAUAGAUGGAAGCGAUCCUGCUCCUACUGAUGCAACAAAGUUAGGUGAAUGGAAGAUUAAAGAUGCUCGGGUGAUGACAUGGAUUCUAGGGUCAAUUGACCCUCUUAUUGUUCUUAAUCUCAGGCCGUACAAGACAGCUAAGGCCAUGUGGGAUUACUUACAAAAGGUUUACAACCAAGAUAAUAGCGCAAGACGCUUUCAGUUGGAGUUUGAAAUUGCUAAUUACUCUCAAUGAGGUCUUUCUGUUCAGGAUUAUUUUUCUGGAUUUCAAAACUUAUGGGCUGAAUUUACAGAUAUUGUCUAUGCCAAAAUACCUACUGAAUCCCUAUCAGUGAUUCAGGCAGUUCAUGAGCAAAGCAAGCGAGACCAAUUUUUUGUAUGAAAUUACGCUCCGAUUUUGAGAGUGUUCGCUCUAACUUGAUGAAUUGUGACCCGUAUCCCUCUUUGGAUGUUUGCUUUAGGGAAUUACUUCGUGAAGAGCAACGUCUUGUCACACAAAAUGCUUUUAAGAAAGAAAAUGAUGUCACUGUUGCAAUUGUUGCUCAAGGUAAAGGAAAGGGUAGGGAUAUGAGUAGAACUCAAUGCUACAGUUGCAAGGAAUAUGGUCAUAUUGCUAGCAAUUGUAGCAAGAAGUUCUGUAAUUAUUGUAAACAACAAGGGCACAUUAUCAAAGAGUGUCCCACGCGCCCUCAAAAUCGUAGGAUCAAUGUUUUCAAGCUAGGAUAAAUGGUUCCACUGAUGAUAACUCAUCUUCAGGACAAGUUCUUACUCCUGAAAUGGUACAACAAAUGAUCGUGUCAGCCUUUUCAGCAUUGGGAUUACAAGGUAAUGAUGUUACAUCUAAUUUUUGGAUUGUUGAUUCAGGCACUUCAAAUCAUAUGACCAACUCAACGAGCAUCCUAAAAAAUGUUCGUAAGUAUCAAGGUCCAUCACAAAUACAGAUUGCCAAUGGUAGUAAUUUACCCAUUACCAAGGUUGGGGACAUUACUCCAACUUUCAAGAAUGUUUUUGUUUCACCAAAGCUCUCAACUAGUCUUAUUUCAGUUGGACAAUUGGUAGAUAACAAUUGUGAUGUGAAUUUUUCUCGUAAUGGUUUUGUACUUCUACUGCUAGUAAGACUGAGGUUUGGCAGAAGCGUCUAGGACAUCCAAAUUCUGUUGUGUUGUCUCAUUUAUCAAAUUCUGGUUUAUUGGGAAAUAAAAAUAAAUUUUCAGUUGCUUCCAUUGAUUGUUCUACUUGUAAAUUAGGCAAAAGUAAAACUCUUCCUUUUCCUAAUUUUGGUAGUCGUGCUACAAAGUGUUUUGAUGUCAUUCAUAGUGAUGUUUGGGACAUUUCAUAAAGUGUUUUGAUGUCAUUCAUAGUGAUGUUUGGGGCAUUUCACCAAUUAUUUCUCAUGCUCAUUUCAAAUACUUUGUGACAUUCAUAGAUGAUUAUAGUCGGUUUACAUGGGUGUAUUUUCUUCGAUCCAAAUCUGAGGUAUUUUCCAUGUUCAAGACAUUUUUGGCUUACAUUGAGACUCAAUUUUCUACAUGCAUCAAAUUAUUAAGAUCUGAUUCUGGUGGAGAAUAUAUGUCUUAUGAAUUCAAAAAAUUCUUGCUUGACAAAGGGAUUGUCUCACAACACUCUUGCCCAUAUACACCACAACAAAAUGGAGUUGCUGAACGAAAAAAUCGGCAUCUUCUAGAUGUCACUCGUACUUUAUUGAUUGAGUCAUCUGUACCAUCUAAAUAUUGGGUGGAAGCUUUGUCUACUGCUGUCUAUUUAAUUAAUAGAUUGCCAUCUAAAGUGCUAAAUCUUGAGUCUCCAUAUUUUUGUCUUUAUCACCAAAAUCCUAACUAUAGUGAUUUUCAUACAUUUGGUUGUGUUUGUUUUGUGCAUUUGCCUCCUUCGCAACGCAAUAAACUUUCUGUACAAUCUACUAAAUGUGCUUUUUUGGGUUAUAGUACUUCACAAAAAGGUUUUAUUUGUUAUGAUCCAUGUUCUCACAAAUUUCGUAUUUCUAGAAAUGUUGUUUUCUUUGAGAAUCAGUAUUUCUUUCCUACGAUUGUAGAUUCAUCUUCUGUUUCUCUUCUUCUUCCUCCUUUUGAGGAUUUAUCAUCUUCUUUUAAGAGGUUUAAACCUGGAUUUGUGUAUGAACGACGUCGACCAACUUUACCCUAUCCCAACACUGAUCCGCCGCCUGAAACUGCACCACAACUAGAAUCUGAGAAUUCUUCAAGAUCUGGUCCUCUUGAGCCUACUCGGCGAUCUACAAGAGUAUCUCGUACUCCCAAUUGGUAUGGCUUUUCCUCUACUUUAUCCAACAUAUCUGUUCCAUCUUGUUACUCACAAGCUUCCAAGCAUGAAUGUUGGCAGAAAGCAAUGGAGGAAGAACUUUUGGCUCUUAAAGAAAAUGACACAUGGGACAUUGUUUCAUGUCCUUCAAAUGUCAGUCAUAUUGGAUGUAAAUAGACAUUACUCCAACUUUCAAGAAUGUUUUUGUUUCACCAAAGCUCUCAACUAGUCUUAUUUCAGUUGGACAAUUGGCAGAUAACAAUUGUGAUGUGAAUUUUUGUCGUAAUGGUUGUCUUGUGUAGGAUCAGGUGUCGGGGACGAUAAUCGCGAAGGGACUUUUGCACCCGUAGCCAAAAUGACUACGGUACGAACUAUUAUUGCCAUUGUUGCUUCACAAAACUGGUCUCUUUAUCAAAUGGAUGUCAAAAAUGCUUUUCUCCAUGGUGAUCUUAAAGAAGAUAUUUAUAUGAAACCUCCACCUGGUUUGUUCUCAUUGCCUACAUUAGAUGUAUGCAAGUUGAAGCGGUCUUUGUAUGGAUUAAAACAAGCUCCAAGAGCUUGGUUUGAUAAGUUCCGGUCUACUUUGCUACAAUUUUCUUUUGAGUAGAGCAAAUAUGACUCAUCUUUGUUUCUUCGGAAAACAUCUACAGGUUGUGUUCUUCUUUUGGUGUAUGUAGAUGACAUUAUUAUCACAGGAACUGAUUCUUCACUAAUCACUUGCCUCCAACAGCAGCUUAAAGAUUCUUUUCAUAUGAAAGAUCCUGGUACUCUUACUUAUUUUUUGGGUUUGGAAAUUCAUAAUGUUGCUUCAGGUGUAUUUCUAAACCAACACAAAUAUACUCAGGAUCUGAUUUCUUUGGCUGGUCUUCAAGUUUCCUCCUCCGUAGAUACUCCACUGGAAAUGAAUGUCAAGUAUCGUCAUGAGAAAGGUGAUCUUCUUCCUGAUCCAACUAUAUUUCGACAAUUAGUUGGGAGUCUAAAUUACCUUACUAUUACUUGGCCAGAUAUCUCUUUUGCAGUUCAACAAGUUAGUCAAUUUAUGCAAGCUCCCCGUCAUCUCUACUUGGUGGCUGUUCGUCGCAUCAUUCGGUACCUUCUAGGAACAUCUACUCGUGGAUUGUUCUUUCUAAGUGGUUUUCAUAUUCGUCUUAAUGCUUUUAGUAAUUCUGAUUGGGCGGGAUGUCCUGAUACUCGUUGUUCAGUCUCUGGUUGGUGCAUGUUUAUUGGAGAGUCAUUGAUAUCUUGGAAGAGUAAAAAGCAAGAUCGUGUGUCAAAAUCUUCAACAGAGGCUGAAUAUCGAUCCAUGUCUAUUGCUUGCUCCAAGGUUAUAUGACUUCGUGGAUUACUUGCUGAGAUUGGAUUUCCCCAAUCUCAUCAUACUCCUCUCCACGCUGACAAUACAAGUGCUAUUCAGAUUGCUACUAAUCCAGUUUUUCAUGAGAGGACCAAACACAUCGAAGUGGAUUGUCAUUAUAUACAAGAAGCUGUAGAUAAAUGAGUCAUUACUCUUCCACAUGUGUCUAGUGAUCUUCAAAUAGCUGAUACGUUUACAAAAUCCAUGGCACGGCAACGCCAUCAGUUUCUAGUAGGCAAAUUGAUGCUUCUUGAUCCACCAGUAUCAAUUUGAGGGGGGAUGUUAGCAUGAUAUACAACUAAAUGAUUGUAUAUAUUAAUGUAAUUAUAUAGUGAUAUAAAUUAGCAUGAUCAUAUACAUUUGUUGUAGAAUCAUAUGAAUAAAUAUUGUGAUAGAAUAGCUGAUUUGAAGGGAUAGCAAGGCAGAUUUAGAGGGAUUUAAUGGCAGAUUUGUAUAGAUAGAAUAGCUGAUCUUUAGGGAUAGGAAUGGCGGAUCUUUAGGGAUGUGUAAUCUUUAUUUUCUCUAUAUAAUGGAAAGACUCUCUUACUUUGAGAGGCAUUCAGCUGAAAAUUGACACUCGAUGCAGUCCUUUCGUUCUAACCCUAGUUCAGGGAAACUCUGGUUGAGAAGUGAGAGGAGUCGGUCCGAGUCUCCUAGAAAUAAAGUUAAAAAGGACACUCUUACGGUUUUCUCUGAGGCACGUAUAGUGCUAUUGACUACGUCAAUGAUCAUUCUCAUGAAAAGAUCAUUGUCCUACUUGUCAGCGAGACGUUGCCAUAGGUAAGCAAGGUCGAGGGCAUUUUGGUCAUAAAAUCUUGGGAUGCUAAAAACGGUCACCUUUGGUGGGACUCGUACCAACUUUAUUUUAUACGACAAAACAACUCCAUAACUUACCCCUCCACCACCCGUAAUAGCCCAAAAUAAAUCCUCCCCCAUGGAUUUACGAUCGAGGAUUCGUCCGUUAACAUCGAUUAGUUUUGUAUCAUCACUGUUAUUUUUCUUAUCAUGUUACCAUAACCGGCCCCACUAAAGUGACCACUGACCCCCAUGGUGGGACAAACUCCCGCGGGGAAUCCAUGCACAUUGCUUUUUUCCGCGAUUCUAUAGUAAAGUUCACCAAUGGUUGCACCUACUUCAACCCAAGCCGAUUCAUCCUCAAUGUUUAUGUUAUCGAGCGGAAAUUGAACAUGUCAAUGACAAAAAAUGGUAUGUCAGAGACGUAAGAAAGACCCUCGUAGUCGUGCCCUCCACUCCUAAUUUUCAUUUGCACAUGUACCUUGUGAUUUUGCAUAAAUAAUUGAUGCUUGAAUAUGAGAUUCAUGUUGAGCUGUGAGUAUGAAGAGAGAUUUCCUAGUUGUGGACUCAUUGAAUCUUAAAUUUCUUAUGUAAGCUUGCAAAACAGAUGGAAAUGAAGAAUUAUUUGGAGAAAAUACUAAUGAAGAAAUUGGAUAAGAAGGGUUUGAAUUUGUUUCAAGACAUUCAAGAAAUGUU